UUGGUACAACACUGAUCCAACCCAAUAUAAACUCAACCAUAGACUAAAUCCUCUAAAUAAAUAAACCCAUAUCAUCAUAGGUUCAAUCUCUCUUUUAGGGUAUCAAAACUUAACGCUAGCCCAUCAGCCUUACCUUAACCCUGUUUAAAGGCACAAUUUUUACAAAAACAAAAAAUACUUUUAAACAUUUUUGUUUUCUUUCCUUUGAAAUUAUUGUUUUUCCAACUUUCGAUUGAGUGUGAAUCCAACUAAAAAUUUUGAUUCAACUUUUCCUACAAUCCUCCCCAGUGUAUCAACCUAAGUAGCUUUAGGUACACCAAUUAUAGUACAUCGUCUUAAUAAUAUAAAGUUCAUUUCCGAAUAACAAAUUCCACAGUUGAGUUGAGUUGAGUGUCUCCGUCUAGCCCCCAUAUAUAGCCCCCAACAAUUGUCUCUUAUAAAUGCACUCAAAAUAACAAAACAAUAAAAAUUCAUCCCGAACAUAAUUAUUAUAAGGAACAAAAAUAAAGUAGGUAAGACAAAAUAUGCAGAACGAACAACUACGAACAAAAUAAAAAAUAAUAAUAAUCCCCCUUUAAAAACGUUCCUAAAUCUACGUCUCUCUAAUCUCCAAUUAAGCAACGUGUGUGGGGGACACUGACUUGACUCGACUGAACUGAACUGGACUGUACUGAGGGGACAUUUUAUAUUAUAUUUAUAAGAAAACAUUCCCGACCCAAUUGUAGCAUUUUUGAAGUCUUCAUCUUCAAACACUACAAACUAAAUUAUAAAAAUAAUAAAAUACAACAACAUUUAGGAUGGAAAAAGCUUCAACCCAAGACGAUAACGAAAAAACAAAAAAUAAAAUAGCCUGCAAAAAAGAAUCUGACAUUAGUCGAAUAUCGCUAGCAAAAGCGAGAGCACGCAUCGGCAAAAAUAGGUCAAGCUCUGGUUUCACAGCAUAGUAGUUUUUUGGUUUUCGAUUUGGCUUUGGGAGUGUUUCAAAAGAGUGAAGUGAUCACACAAAUAAAAUAAUCAUAAAUAACUUUAAAAAAUAAAAACGAACCGAAACGAGUGACAAUAUAAUGAAAAAACAUUACGAGUUAAGAGGAAUUUUUGUACUUGUUUUUGGCCUGGCAAUGCUGCAGUCAGCAGCAUUGGGGGGUCCACUAUCAUAUGUUGAAAGAACUUGUCAUAAUUUUAUUAAUGAUCAAUUGGGGGCAAUUUGUGUUAAUGGUUUAAAUUUGCUACCUCCUUAUGCAAAUCCACUUACCAAUCCUGUGGUUGAAGUCUUCGGAUCAAAUGGUUUUGUCAUAAAACCACAUAUUUUAAAAAUCUGCUGUUACAAAAAGUGUAGCUACCAAACCUAUAAGCAAUUUUGUAGGCCAUUUCCUACUGAACCAACGCCAACAACGGUGUACGAACCAACAAUAAUAACGGAUAACGAAGGCUAGAGUCUUAUGACUACUUUUUUUU